ACUCCGUACGGGGAGGCAGCAGGUGGGGGAAUAUUGCACAAUAGGGCGGCAAGCCUGAUGCAGCAACGCCGUGUGAGUGAAGAAGGUUUUACGGUAUCGUAAAACUACUGUCCUAAGGGAAGAAACAAAUAGACGGUACCUUAGGAGGAAGCCCGGCCUAACUACGUGCCAGCAGCCGCGGUAAUACGUAGGGGCGAAGCGUUAUCCGGAAUCACUGGGCGUAAAGGGUGCGUAGGCGGCUUAGCAAGCCAGGGGUGAAAGGCAUUGGCUCAACCAAUGUAAGCCUUUGGAACUGUUAAGCUUGAGUGCAGGAGAGGUAAGUGGAAUUCCUAGUGUAGAGGUGAAAUUCG
rnacentral:rRNA from 1 species